rnacentral:rRNA from 1 species
AUUGAACGCUGGCGGAAUGCUUUACACAUGCAAGUCGAACGGCAGCACGGACUUCGGUCUGGUGGCGAGUGGCGAACGGGUGAGUAAUGUAUCGGAACGUGCCCAGUCGUGGGGGAUAACGUAGUGAAAAUUACGCUAAUACCGCAUACGAUCUAUGGAUGAAAGCGGGGGAUCGCAAGACCUCGCGCGAUUGGAGCGGCCGAUAUCAGAUUAGGUAGUUGGUGGGGUAAAGGCCCACCAAGCCAACGAUCUGUAGCUGGUCUGAGAGGACGACCAGCCACACGGGAACUGGGACACGGUCCAGGCUUCUACGGGAGGCAGCAGUGGGGAAUUUUGGACAAUGGGCGAAAGCCUGAUCCAGCCAUUCCGCGUGCAGGAUGAAGGCCCUCGGGUUGUAAACUGCUUUUGUACAGAACGAAAAGGUUUCUACUAAUACUAGGAGCUCAUGACGGUACUGUAAGAAUAAGCACCGGCUAACUACGUGCCAGCAGCCGCCGUAA